rnacentral:rRNA from 1 species
AGGGCACCACCAGGAGUGGAGCCUGCGGCUUAAUUUGACUCAACACGGGAAAACUCACCCGGCCCGGACACUGGAAGGAUUGACAGAUUGAGAGCUCUUUCUUGAUUCAGUGGGUGGUGGUGCAUGGCCGUUCUUAGUUGGUGGAGUGAUUUGUCUGGUUAAUUCCGAUAACGAACGAGACUCUAGCCUACUAAUAGAUCGUCGGCUUACAAACGCCGACGAGACUUCUUAGAGGGACAGGCGGUGAUACAACCGCACGAAACAGAGCAAUAACAGGUCUGUGAUGCCCUUAGAUGUCCGGGGCCGCACGCGCGCUACACUGAAGUGAUCAGCGUGCUUUUUCAACCUACUCUGUCAAGAGUGGGGAACCCAAUGAACCUUCUUCGUGAUUGGGAUAGGGGAUUGUAAUUAUUCCCCUUGAACGAGGAAUUCCCAGUAAGCGCGAGUCAUAAGCUCGCGUUGAUUACGUCCCUGCCCUUUGUACACACCGCCCGUCGCUACUACCGAUUGAAUGUUUUA